rnacentral:rRNA from 1 species
GGAGUUUGAUCAUGGCUCAGGAUGAACGCUGGCGGCGUGCUUAACACAUGCAAGUCGAACGAACCUUCGGGUUAGUGGCGGACGGGUGAGUAACGCGUGAGAAUCUGCCCUCAGGAGGGGGAUAACGGUUGGAAACGACCGCUAAUACCCCAUAUGCCUACUGGUGAAAUGAAUUUCGCCUGAGGAUGAGCUCGCGUCUGAUUAGCUAGUUGGUGAGGUAAUGGCUCACCAAGGCUUCGAUCAGUAGCUGGUCUGAGAGGAUGAUCAGCCACACUGGGACUGAGACACGGCCCAGACUCCUACGGGAGGCAGCAGUGGGGAAUUUUCCGCAAUGGGCGAAAGCCUGACGGAGCAACGCCGCGUGAGGGACGAAGGCCUCUGGGCUGUAAACCUCUUUUCUCAAGGAAGAAGAUAUGACGGUACUUGAGGAAUAAGCCACGGCUAAUUCCGUGCCAGCAGCCGCGGUAAUACGGGAGUGGCAAGCGUUAUCCGGAAUUAUUGGGCGUAAAGCGUCCGCAGGCGGCUUUUCAAGUCUGCUGUUAAAGCGUGGAGCUUAACUCCAUCAUGGCAGUGGAAACUGAAAGGCUUGAGUAUGGUAGGGGCAGAGGGAAUUCCCGGUGUAGCGGUGAAAUGCGUAGAUAUCGGGAAGAACACCAGUGGCGAAGGCGCUCUGCUGGGCCAUUACUGACGCUCAUGGACGAAAGCCAGGGGAGCGAAAGGGAUUAGAUACCCCUGUAGUCCUGGCCGUAAACGAUGAACACUANGUGUCGGGGGAA